rnacentral:misc_RNA from 1 species
GGAAGAGGCCUGAAGAGAGGAUCCUGGCAGAAAGGGACCCAACUAAGUAUGUUGUCUCUCCUAUAACCGGUGAGCUCAUACCUAUUAAUGAGAUGUCUGAACAUAUGAGGAUCUCUCUCAUUGAUCCAAAGUACAAGGAACAGAAGGACAGGAUGUUUGCGAAGAUUAAGGAGACGACUCUUGCGCAGGAUGAUGAGAUUUCUAGGAACAUUGUUGGACUUGCAAGAACCCGUCCGGAUAUAUUUGGUACCACAGAAGAAGAAGUUUCAAAUGCGGUCAAGGCUGAGAUUGAGAAAAAGAAGGAAGAGCCGAAGCAAGUCAUAUGGGAUGGUCACACAGGUAGCAUUGGUCGCACUGCGAACCAGGCAAUGUCUCAGAACAGUGAUGAUCAGAAUGAUGCUGCAAAUGAUGCAAGAAACCUUCCUGGACCGCAGGCUCCUCCACCUCCCAGACCUGGUUUUCCAUCUAUUAGGCCACUACCUCCACCACCUGGGCUUGCACUGAAUAUUCCUAGGCCUCCUAAUACAGUCCAGUAUUCUACUCCUGGGGUUGCUGCUCCGCCUCCACCUCGACCUCCUAUGGUUAACAUGAUUCCUCAGGUUCGGCCCCCACCUCC